rnacentral:lncRNA from 1 species
AAAAAAAUCCUUUAAAAAUGACAGGGAAUUUGUUUUGGAGCUUGAGGGUGGGUGAGAAGUUGAGUGGCCUGUAGCUGGCUCCUCUGAGAUGUGAAUGAAGGUGAAGGCAACAAGAACUCGUGUGGAAGAGUGGAUGGUAGCAGAUGGGUAAAGGAAGCAAGCCAGCCAAACUUCUGGAGGUGGGAAAAGAGGAAGAGGUGGACAGGACCUUGGCAUCAGCCCUACACAUGGCCUUGGGGCUUCGUGGCUAAGAAGGCCAGCUGCAUUCCCCUCCACUGAGGACAUUCUCCAGGAUUUCACAUUCAUCGCGACACAAGUCACGGGGCUUUGGGACGGAUGAAGUUUCAUCGCAGUACGGGAAGGCAUAGUGGCACAGGGAAGGAAUGGCGAACUGAGAACACUUAUCAGAUAAGUGACUGGAAGUGCCAAUCAUAGUGAAGGCAGCUGGAAAACAAACACA